UAGGGAAUUUUCGUCAAUGGGGGGAACCCUGAACGAGCAAUGCCGCGUGAGUGAGGAAGGUCUUCGGAUCGUAAAGCUCUGUUGUAAGAGAAAAACGGCACUCAUAGGGAAUGAUGAGUGAGUGAUGGUAUCUUACCAGAAAGUCACGGCUAACUACGUGCCAGCAGCCGCGGUAAUACGUAGGUGGCGAGCGUUAUCCGGAAUGAUUGGGCGUAAAGGGUGCGUAGGUGGCAGAUCAAGUCUGGAGUAAAAGGUAUGGGCUCAACCCGUACUGGCUCUGGAAACUGAUCAGCUAGAGAACAGAAGAGGACGGCGGAACUCCAUGUGCAGCGGUAAAAUGCGUAGAUAUAUGGAAGAACACCGGUGGCGAAGGCGGCCAUCUGGUCUGGAUUCUGACACUGAAGCACGAAAGCGUGGGGAGCAAAUAGGAUUAGAUACCCUAGUAGUCCACGCCGUAAACGAUGAGAACUAGGUGUUGGGGGAAUAACUCAGUGCCGCAGUUAACGCAGUAAGUUCUCCGCCUGGGGAGUAUGCACGCAAGUGUGAAACUCAAAGGAAUUGACGGGGGCCCGCACAAGCGGUGGAGUAUGUGGUUUAAUUCGAAGCAACGCGAAGAACCUUACCAGGCCUUGACAUCCCUUGACAGGCAUAGAAAUAUGUUUUCUCUUCGGAGCAAGGAGACAGGUGGUGCAUGGUUGUCGUCAGCUCGUGUCGUGAGAUGUUGGGUUAAGUCCCGCAACGAGCGCAACCCUUGUGAUAUGUUACUAACAUUGAGUUGAGGACUCAUAUCAGACUGCCGGUGAUAAACCGGAGGAAGGUGGGGAUGACGUCAAAUCAUCAUGCCCCUUAUGGCCUGGGCUACACACGUACUACAAUGGCGUCUACAAAGAGCGGCAAGCCUGUGAAGGCAAGCGAAUCUCAUAAAGGACGUCUCAGUUCGGAUUGAAGUCUGCAACCCGACUUCAUGAAGCUGGAAUCGCUAGUAAUCGCGAAUCAGCAUGCCGCGGUGAAUACGUUCCC
rnacentral:rRNA from 1 species